rnacentral:rRNA from 1 species
AACUUUCAACAACGGAUCUCUUGGUUCUCGCAUCGAUGAAGAACGCAGCGAAAUGCGAUAAGUAUUGUGAAUUGCAGAUUUUCGUGAAUCAUCGAAUCUUUGAACGCACAUUGCGCCCUCUAGUAUUCUAGAGGGCAUGCCUGUUUGAGCGUCAUU